CAUAUCCGGGGCUGAGAGAUGAACCUUCCCAUCAUUCACAGAGUCACAUGGAGCGAGAGCAAGGAAGAUCUGAGCUUCCUCCUCAAUUCGCAAGAAUCUCAGAAAGUCAAGUUAGUGGUAUCCAGCAAGCAGAUGCUGUACCUGCUGACAGUCUUUCCUCGAGGAACGCAGAUGAGACCAGAUGAGAUCUUCAGUUUUCAUGUCGACUGACCUCACAUCUUUUGUACAUAGACAUUCAUCGUUUCCUUUUCAAAAACAGGAGUUAUUCUUUUUCAAUUUCCAAUAGCAUCUUCAAUGCAUGUUCAUUACUGUGACAAUGUUGUAUUCAUGACUUUCAGUAGACACAGCUGAAAUCAUUGCUGUCUUUGUUCCAGUUAAAGGCAACAGUUUUAAAUUGCUUUUUACACUACAAUCAGUUUAUUACUGAAUCGAUUAUGGUAUCAGUCUUCAUUUGUUGUCGCAUUUGACAGGUUAGAAAGUUGAAUGCCUGUUGUUUGUACUGUUUUCGAGGCACUAGUGAAAUUCAAGAUGUUAUUUUCCUAAAUCUGGAUAAGUGUUUUUGAAUAAACAGUUCAAAUUCUGAA